UACGGGGGGUGCGAGCGUUGUCCGGAUUCACUGGGCGUAAAGGGCGCGUAGGCGGCUCAUUCAGUCGGGCCUGUAAGCGCGGGGCUCACCCCCGUGUUGGGCCCGGGACGGGUGGGCUGGGGCGCGGCAGAGGGGUGCGGAAUGCCGGGUGUAGUGGUGAAAUGCGUAGAGAUCCGGCGGAACACCGGUGGUGGAAACGGCACCCUUGGCCGAGGCCGACGCUGAGGCGCGAGAGCGUGGGGAGCGAACCGG
rnacentral:rRNA from 1 species